AUCAGGUUCACAAAUAUACAGUAUAUGUGAUGUACUCCUAUACUAAAUUGUAUACAUAUUUUUAAAACUUGGACCUGCAAAUUGUAGUGGAGACAAUUGCGUAUAUGGUUGACCUACUUUCAACAAGACCUUAGCAGAUAGAAAUGUCUGAGGACUGCAGCACUAAUGUCAUGCCAUCAAAAUGUUGCUUUUUUUUGGCCCCACAGUUGUAGUCCAACAACUCAGACAAUUUCUAAUCCAGUGUUCCUUCAUUUAGGCCUGGUGAAACAGCGACCCCCAUUGUUUACAUUCAUGUGUGCGCCAGUGGAAAUGGAAUGCACAUAUCCAUUGAAGAUGCCUGGAAAAGUCCACAUCAUAUCCCUGCACUCACACACACACUGAAAUGGGGGAAGUCUGGUCCGCUCUGGUCACUUCCUCUUGCUGUAUGGAGACCAGUCAGCCAGCCUGGUCCUGAGAUAGAUGACUUGAUGUGCAUGCUGUUGUGGUGAACCAAAAUGCCUACCUCAUUGCCUGCUUCAAUCUCACUUUAAUAACAAAAAUAGGCCAAGGAGAAGGUUUAAUGUGAAUUAGAUUACGUAGGGAGGAGAGGAAUAAAUACACUGUGACAACACCAUUAUGUACAGUUUUUGGAUAGUGUGUGUAAAUGUUACUGACAUACUGUAACUCAUGAUGUACUUAGAUAUUAGCAACACUAAAGAUGAGUAAUUUCAUAAUUGUAUAUAUUUUAUAAUUUCAGUUUGUGACUAAACAAGCAAUGUAGAGAAUCAUUGUACCAUCUAAACCACUGAAAUAUCGUUUCAAUUUCCAAAAAUAUUGUAUUUUCAGCUGUUUGAAGCUGGUGUACAAAACCUAAAGUAAAAAAUGCAAAGGAAAUUUAAGAACAGAAAGCAUAGAAAUAAUGCAUAUAGACUUGCUUUCAAUGAGAAUGACAGAUCUAUAACUACAUUUCUAUGUGAAUUUGGUCAGUCACCUCAAAAAUGACAUAUUGCAGUUUUAAGCCUAGUCCUGGAUUUACAACCCCUUUGAAUUAAGAAUCUCCCAUAAAAAUGCUUAUUCUUAGUCUAGGACUAGGUUUAAUCUGUGUCCGGCAAACUGGCCCAUAGUGAACACAAGAUGAAACUCUUGAUUCAAAUAGACCUGCACCGUCAUUCAAAUAGCAUGCAUUAGAGAUUCAUGAUUUGUGAAGGUGCAUAAUGUCUGUCCAAUUACAAUUUGUUAAUGUAUAAAUCCUGUAUUAAAUUAGUUCUUUGCCA